rnacentral:misc_RNA from 1 species
GAUGAAGAACGCAGCGAAACGCGAUAAGUAAUGUGAAUUGCAGAAUUUAGUGAAUCAUCGAACUUUUGAACGCACAUUGCGCCCGCCAGUAUUCUGGCGGGCAUGCCUGUCUGAGCGUCAUUUCAACCCUCAUGCCCCUAGGGCGUGGUGUUGGGGAUCGGCCAAAGCCCGCGAGGGACGGCCGGCCCCUAAAUCUAGUGGCGGACCCGUCGUGGCCUCCUCUGCGAAGUAGUGAUAUUCCGCAUCGGAGAGCGAUGAGCCCCUGCCGUUAAACCCCCAACUUUCCAAGGUUGACCUCAGAUCAGGUAGGAAUACCCGCUGAACUUAAGCAUAUCAAUAAGCGGAGGA